rnacentral:rRNA from 1 species
AAUAUUGGACAAUGGAGGCAACUCUGAUCCAGCCAUGCCGCGUGUAGGAAGACUACCCUAUGGGUUGUAAACUACUUUUAUAGAGGAAGAAACCCCGAUAUGUAUAUCGGUCUGACGGUACUAUACGAAUAAGGAUCGGCUAACUCCGUGCCAGCAGCCGCGGUAAUACGGAGGAUCCAAGCGUUAUCCGGAAUCAUUGGAUUUAAAGGGUUGGUAGGCGGUUUUGUAAGUCAGUGGUGAAAGUUUUCGGCUCAACCGGAAAAUUGCCAUUGAUAAUGCAAGACUUGAAUUGGGAUGAAGUGGUUAGAAUGGUAGGGUAGCGGUGAAGUGCAUAGAUAUUACACAGAAUACCGAUGGCGAAGGCAGAUCACUAACAAUAUAUUGAGGCUAAGGGACGAAAGGGGGGGUCAGAACAGAAAUAGAUACAGUGGUAGUCCACGCCGUA